rnacentral:lncRNA from 1 species
UACCAGAUGAAAGUAAACAGUGGAGAUUACUUUAAAACUUUUAGUUUUUUUUUUUUGGUUGUUGUUUUUUUCGAGACAAGAGUUUCUCUGUAUAGCCCUGUCUGUCCUGGAACUCACUUUGUAGACCAGGCUGGCCUUGAACUCAGAAAUCUGCCUGCCUCUGCCUCCCGAGUGCUGGGAUUAAAGGUGUGCGCCACCAAGCCUGGCUUAAAACGUUUAGUUUUUAACUUAAUAUUAAGUCUGCCUUGGUACUUGCUAAAAUACUUGAUUCUGGGUGAUGGGAAAGGGUCUGUGUCUCAACAUCCAUAGUCUAGAGUAAGAACGUUCUUAAGAGGUAGUUUCUGUAAUGCUUCAUUACCGGGAGGUUGUUUAUAGAUGCCCAUCCUGCUGUCAAGAGCAUGUGAGUACUGAGCAACCAAUUGGGUUGACUAUAAAGUGAUCCUGGACCAUUAUAUCGUGAGUAGUGAAGUGUGUGGACAUUUCAGUAGAAAUGUGGAGCCAUUUCAAAGCUCUUCUUUUAACUGAAGUGGCUAAUUCUGCUAAUUUCAUAAAUGCCCUAUGAAAUUAACCUGUCUCACUUGUUAUGAUCAUUUGCAAAAAAAUGCAUUCAUAUUUUUUGUUUUAUUUCUAAAUUUUUUCUUUCUGUAGUGUAUUUUCUAUAGCUUCCAUGAGUAAAUUACUUUGUAAGUAGAAGUGUGAGGCAGAUUAUUAGACAUGUGUUGAGAUUUAGAGGUUGGAGGGUUGGCUGUGUGGUUAGACCACUGACUCUUAGCCACUCUUCAGGAGGCCCCACCUGGCAGCUCACCAUUGCCUGCAACUCCAGUGCCAGGGGGUCUGACACCCUCUUCUGGCCUUCCUGAGCAUCAGGCACACACAGUGAUGUGCAGACAUACAUGUUGGCAAAACACUUACAAUAAAAUAAAUAUAACAUAAUAAUAAUAAACACUUAAGAAAACAAAACAGAUGUUCAAUUUUGGUAUUUCUUGACAGGGCAAGCAUUGAUGUGUCACGGUAGACCCAUCACUACCCUGUCAUCACUCGACUGCAGUGUGAGUCAGCAAAUUACCGACAGAUUAUUUAGGAACCACAGCGUGAAAAACAGACUGUAGAUUUUCAUGGACAGAAUUAAGCCAGUUUAGCUGUGCGUGGGGGUGUAGAUAUGAUACUUUCAUUUUCCAAGCCAGCAAUUUUUAUCUUCAAACAGUCUUGUAAUCAUGUGUGUAGGAUGCAUUAAGCUAAAUUUGGAAUGUGAGCAUUUUAAGCUGCCAUAGUACUAAUGAGAAUUUUAACUAUGCCAAAAAUGUGUUUUCUUUUGCCCUUUUAGAUAUAGCAUAUGAUUCAAUAAUAGCAUUGGAGACUCUAAUUAGAAAAGUUUAAGGGCACCCCAAUUUGUAAUCUUAAUGUUAUCAGUAAAAUGUUCAACCUGUCUAUGGCAUCUUAAUGUAUUUAACAAAAUUGAGUAGGGUUAAACCAGUUAGACAGAUAAUCAAUAUUACCAUUAAAUGUUGUAUCUAUACAGGUUGGAUGAUGUCUAUUCCCAUUAGUCUAGAGAUAAGAUAUUCUUAAGAGCCUUCUCACUGCAGCACAAGCAAACAAGCAACAGAGAAGCCUUACAUUAAGCUGAUAUCUGUGCCACUGUAGCAAACAAGGGCCUCUGACGCUAACAGUACCUUUAUUCCUACCAGAAACAACUUCAGGCCCUUGGUAGAGGAAAGCAUUUGCAGGUUUAGUCAGUAGACUACUUUGUGUAUUACAGAUCCAGGCAAUAUCAGUUCUCAGGGAAAAAUUCCCACUCCUGUAAAAUGCAAGUGAUUAUUAAGGUUCAACAACAACAACAAAAUGUAAAGAAACCCUUAGACUUUGAAAAUAUCUUUAGCACACUUUGGUUUUGGCAUAUUAGAAUUAUUUGAUGAACUAUAAGUAAAUAACUGAAGAUUAUUUAAAAGAAAUUGUUGAAAAGAAAAUUAUUAUUGAAAAAAUACUGAAAAGAAAAUUGAAAAAUGAAAUUAUCAAGUGGUAUUUAUUUAUUUAUUUAUUUAUUUUUUUUUUUGGUGUUUUGGUUUUUUCGAGACAGGGUUUCUCUGUAUAGUCUUGGCUAUCCUGAAAUUCACUUUGUAGACCAGGAUGGCCUCGAACUCAGAAAUCUGCCUGCUUCUGCCUCCCGAGUGCUGGGAUUAAAGGUGUGUACCACCACGCCCGGCGCUGCCCACACUACUUUUUUUUUUUUUUUAAAAGUAGCCAAAUAGAACAUUUGAAAAUAAAACUCACUGGGGGCUGGCAAGAUGACUCAGCAGAUGAAGAUGAUAGCCCUUAAAGCUGCAACCUGAGUUUGAGCCUUAGAACACACAGAGAGGGAAAAGGAGAGAAUGCUUCCUUUACGUUGUUCUUUGAUUUCUACACAUGUACCAUGACACAUACAACUACAUACACACAUGAACACAUGUAGUAAUAAAUGGGUGAGUGAUUGAAUGAAUGAAUGAUUUUACAGUUGAAAUAAAGGUCUGCUGGUACUACAAACACUGGAUUAUAUAAACCCAUAGGAACUAGUGGCCUGGUGCAGGGAGUUAAUGACAUUAUUUAGCAUUUUUCAUGAAGGAUAAGAAUAGUAAAUAUGAAAGAAAAAUGUAAAACUAUAGGUAAUCAAUUGAGAUUUUAAUGUAGGUCUUAUCAGAAAAACAAAGCCAGGGAGUAUAAAAGAAAAUGUCUGCUAUCAUCUCACUCAGCACGAAAAGCACAGGGCAGAACCCAUUCCUGAUGAAAGUUCUUUCUCAAGUUGGUAAAAGGUUCUGAUGGAAAACAAAUAGGUAACACUUCCAGUAUUUAAUGGUGAGGACAGUGUUUCUUCCCUAAAAUAAGGAAGAAUACAAGGAUUUCUCGUUGCUACUUGUAUUUCACAUUCUGCUAUAGUAGAUAAGAAAAUAGCAAAAGACUUAUAUU